rnacentral:rRNA from 1 species
CAAAAGCGUAUAUUAAAGUUGUUGCAGUUAAAAAGCUCGUAGUUGAACCUUGGGCUUGGCUGGCCGGUCCAUCUUUUUUGAUGCGUACUGGACCCAGUCGAGCCUUUCCUUCUGGCUAGCCUUUUGGCGAACCAGGACUUUUACUUUGAAAAAAUUAGAGUGUUCAAAGCAGGCCUUUGCUCGAAUAUAUUAGCAUGGAAUAAUAGAAUAGGACGUUAUGGUUCUAUUUUGUUGGUUUCUAGGACCAUCGUAAUGAUUAAUAGGGACGGUCGGGGGUAUCAGUAUUCAGUUGUCAGAGGUGAAAUUCUUGGAUUUACUGAAGACUAACUACUGCGAAAGCAUUUACCAAGGACGUUUUCAUUAA